GGGUUUAAUGUAACGGAAAUUUUCAAUCCCUGCAACUACAAAUGGAGAAGCUGUUUACAGUACCUAACAACAGCAAACAAGGCAGGAAACAUUUGCCAAGGCAUAAAAUUAUUCUGGGCGUGUGUUUACCGUACACCAUGUAGGCCAAGCAUUGUUUUUGAGGGUACCGUCUACUACGAAUUGGAAAACAGAGUGAAAAGUUACCCGUAUGAUGUACAGGCUCAAUGCGGUUUGAGUUUUAAAGGAAGAUUGGAAG